GUGAAGAACGCAGCGAAAUGCGAUAAGUAGUGUGAAUUGCAGAAUUCAGUGAAUCAUCGAAUCUUUGAACGCACAUUGCGCCCCAUGGUAUUCCGUGGGGCAUGCCUGUUCGAGCGUCAUUUACCCCCUCAGGCUCGGCUUGGUGUUGGGCGUCUGUCCCGCUUCGCGCGCGGACUCGCCCCAAAGGUAUUGGCAGCGGUCGUGCCAGCUUCUCGCGCAGCACAUUGCGCUUCUCGAGGCACCGGCGGGCCCGCGUCCAUCAAGCUCACCCCCCAGUUUGACCUCGGAUCAGGUAGGGAUACCCGCUGAACUUAAGCAUAUCAAUAAGCGGAGGA
rnacentral:misc_RNA from 1 species